rnacentral:rRNA from 1 species
UCUGCCUUUCACAUAGGGAUAGCCCGAAGAAAUUUGGAUUAAUACCUAAUGGCAUAUAGGUGUGGCAUCACAUUUAUAUUAAAGCUGAGGCGGUGAAAGAUGAGUAUGCGUUCUAUUAGCUAGUUGGAGAGGUAACGGCUCCCCAAGGCUACGAUAGAUAGGGGUUCUGAGAGGGAUAUCCCCCACACUGGUACUGAGAUACGGACCAGACUCCUACGGGAGGCAGCAGUGAGGAAUAUUGGACAAUGGUCGGAAGACUGAUCCAGCCAUGCCGCGUGCAGGAAGACGGCCUUAUGGGUUGUAAACUGCUUUUGCAGGGGAAGAAUAAGGACUACGAGUAGUUUGAUGACGGUACUCUGCGAAUAAGCAUCGGCUAACUCCGUGCCAGCAGCCGCGGUAAUACGGAGGAUGCGAGCGUUAUCCGGAAUCAUUGGGUUUAAAGGGUCCGUAGGCGGGCUAAUAAGUCAGAGGUGAAAGCGCUCAGCUCAACUGAGCAACUGCCUUUGAAACUGUUAGUCUUGAAUGAUUGUGAAGUAGUUGGAAUGUGUAGUGUAGCGGUGAAAUGC